AAAAGCAGCCAUAUCACACUGCAACUCACAACUGGCAACCCACUGAAGCCAAGCCGGUGUGAGCCUGGCCAGUACCUGGAUGGGAGACCUCCUGGGACAAACUAAGGUUGCUGCUGGAA
rfam:Lepisosteus oculatus linkage group LG10, whole genome shotgun sequence.